rnacentral:lncRNA from 1 species
UUUAUCUUUAUAUAGGCCUAUAAUAUCUAAAAAAAAAUCAGAUACCUGCAUUUGUCUGUCAUCUCACAAUCCUAAGAGAAAUCUUAUUCCGCUAAGGAAAUAAAAAUUUUUGAGCAGCUCACAAUAUACAAAAUAUUUUUUUUGUUGUCGCUAUUUCUACAAUUAUUCAUCAGCUCCAGAUUACAAUAUGUUCCCUAGUUCUAAACAAAAGCCAUUACGUCACCGAUAUAAGUAAAAAUUGUUAUUUCCCUAUUAAGCAAUUGUUCUGUUUGAAAAUAGGGUUGUAGGUUGUUUGCGAAGUUGAUGGUGAUGUAAUGGCGUUGUCCUAUAUUAAAAAAGAAGAGUAGAAAUAUUAUAAAAUUACUUUGAGGAUCAUGAAAACUUAAUCAAAAUCCACAAUAGAGGACCAAAUACUAAAAAUAUUUAACACUAAAUAAUCUAAAGCUUAAUUGAAAUUAUCUUCCCAAUAAUAUUUUUAUCAGUUUUAGCUUUAUUCUUUGACAGUAGCUAGUGAAAUAAGUGCGGAAAGCUCCUCCUGUGUCAUAAUAAGUAAUGUUAUUAAUGUGGUUUAACUAUCGAUGAAGACCUUCUUUUGGAUCUUCUACCAUGAAAAUUGCCAUAUCGUUCUUUCUAUUUACUUGUCGUUUGGAAUGAAAAAUUUUGCAUAUAAAACAUAAAGAUCGAAAAAGAAAUUCACAGGUUAAAUAAAUUACCAAAACGAUAGUUGUUACACAGAAAAUACUAGACGAUUCUACGAUAGCCCAAGAAAAUCAAGCUAGAACACA